AGAGCGAACGCUGGCGGCAUGCUUAACACAUGCAAGUCGCACGGUCAGGUUUCGGCCUGGUAGUGGCGGACGGGUGAGUAACGCGUAGGUAUCUAUCCGAAGGUGGGGGAUAACGGCGGGAAACUGCUGCUAAUACCGCAUAUGACCUGAGGGUCAAAGGUCGCAAGACCGCCUGUGGAGGAGCCUGCGUACGAUUAGCUUGUUGGUGGGGUAAAGGCCUACCAAGGCGACGAUCGUUAGCUGGUCUGAGAGGAUGAUCAGCCACAUUGGGACUGAGACACGGCCCAAACUCCUACGGGAGGCAGCAGUGGGGAAUAUUGGACAAUGGGGGCAACCCUGAUCCAGCAAUGCCGCGUGUGUGAAGAAGGUCUUCGGAUUGUAAAGCACGUUUCGACGGGGACGAUGAUGACGGUACCCGUAUAAGAAGCCCCGGCUAACUUCGUGCCAGCAGCCGC
rnacentral:rRNA from 1 species